CUCGGAGGUUUUAGAGUGAAGGAGUAGGGUUUAGGGUUUAGGGUUUAGGGUUUAGGGUUUAGGGUUUAGGGUUUAGGGUUUAGGGUUUAGAGGUGGGGUUUAGGGUUUAGGGUUUAGGGUUUAGGGUUUAGAGUUUAGAGGUGGGGUUUAGGGUUUAGGGUUUAGAGUUAAGGGGUGGGGUUUAGGAUUUAGGGUUUAGGAUUUAGAAUUUAGGAUUUAUGGUUUAGGAUUUAGAGUUUAGAGUUUAGGUUUUAGGGUUUAGAGUUUAGGUUUUAGGGUUUAGAGUUGGGGAGUGGGAUUUUGGGAUAAGAUUUCAAAUUUUGAAAAAUAAAAAAAAAUUAAAUUUUUUAAAAGAUAAAUGCUAUUUUGGUUUUUUUAGUUUUUGAGGGCUAUUUUUGUGACAUAAAUUUAGAAAUGUGUUAUUUU
rnacentral:lncRNA from 1 species